CGUAGGUGGCAAGCGUUGUCCGGAAUUACUGGGCGUAAAGGGCGCGUAGGCGGAUAAUUAAGUCAGAUGUGAAAACUGCAGGCUUAACCUGGAGAUUGCAUCUGAAACUGGUUAUCUUGAGUGCAGGAGAGGACAGUGGAAUUCCUAGUGUAGCGGUGAAAUGCGUAGAUAUUAGGAGGAACACCAGUGGCGAAGGCGGCUGUCUGGACUGUAACUGACGCUGAGGCGCGAAAGCGUGGGGAGCAAACAGGAUUAGAUACCCUGGUAGUCCACGCUGUAAACGAUGGGUACUAGGUGUAGGGGGUAUCGACCCCUUCUGUGCCGGAGUUAACACAAUAAGUACCCCGCCUGGGGAGUACGGCCGCAAGGUUG
rnacentral:rRNA from 1 species